UGUGUGUUGGUUAAUAUAAAAGAUCAACUUUGUAUAUCUUAGGUUAAAAUUCUGAAACAAAAUUCUCAAUUAAACUGCAUAUUUCUUUAUUUUCGUUUGAGAACAGGAGGCUUAUAGGAUUGUUUCUUUCAGAUAGGCAGGUAAAUAUUUGCAUUUUUGUCAAAGCAAAAAAUGACUUCCUCUAUUCAGCAGCAGUACCCUCCUGUAGCAGUUGCUGGAUCCAGUUUGCAGUUUUUCCAGGACGAGUUUCAUCAAGCUUUCUUCAGAGACCAUUAGUGCCAGCUAGCCACCACCCUCCUUUAGAGGUCUGGAUUCCAGGCCCAUUAGGCCUCUCCUUGGAAAGCAGAGACACCAGCACCAACUAAGCAAUACCUGACCAGAAGCCCCUAUUUGAGUUCUCUGAGCCCCUCCCCUAAGCUUUUGUUAGCCCUGCUCUAGGGAUUGGUAGGUGCUUCCUGCAGUUACUAUGUCGGAGAUUCCUUGGAGUUCUUUUUUUGCCCCUUUACCUAUGUACUUAAAAACUACAAACUCAGUUAACAAAACUUCCUAUUAAAUUCUCUUUUUUCAAAUAA